GACGAACGCUGGCGGCGUGCCUAAUACAUGCAAGUCGAACGAGAGCGACCGGUGCUUGCACUGGUCAAUCUAGUGGCGCACGGGUGAGUAACACGUGGGUAACCUGCCCAUCAGAGGGGGAUAACAUCCGGAAACGGAUGCUAAAGCCGCAUAGGUCUUCGAACCGCAUGGUUUGAAGAGGAAAAGAGGCGCAAGCUUCUGCUGAUGGAUGGACCCGCGGUGCAUUAGCUAGUUGGUGAGGUAACGGCUCACCAAGGCCGUGAUGCAUAGCCGACCUGAGAGGGUGAUCGGCCACAUUGGGACUGAGACACGGCCCAAACUCCUACGGGAGGCAGCAGUAGGGAAUCUUCCGCAAUGGACGCAAGUCUGACGGAGCAACGCCGCGUGAGUGAAGAAGGUUUUCGGAUCGUAAAACUCUGUUGUUAGAGAAGAACAAGUGCUAGAGUAACUGUUAGCGCCUUGACGGUAUCUAACCAGAAAGCCACGGCUAACUACGUG
rnacentral:rRNA from 1 species